AGCUAAGUAGCUUAAUAUAAAGCAUAUAUUUUGAAAAUAUAAGAAAAAGGUUUAAACCUUUAUUAGCUU
rnacentral:tRNA from 1 species